AUUGAACGCUGGCGGCAGGCUUAACACAUGCAAGUCGAGCGGGGGAGGUUGCUUCGGUAACUGACCUAGCGGCGGACGGGUGAGUAAUGCUUAGGAAUCUGCCAUUUAGUGGGGGACAACAUUCCGAAAGGAAUGCUAAUACCGCAUACGUCCUACGGGAGAAAGCAGGGGAUCUUCGGACCUUGCGCUAAAUGAUGAGCCUAAGUCGGAUUAGCUAGUUGGUGGGGUAAAGGCCUACCAAGGCGACGAUCUGUAGCGGGUCUGAGAGGAUGAUCCGCCACACUGGGACUGAGACACGGCCCAGACUACUACGGGAGGCAGCAGUGGGGAAUAUUGGACAAUGGGCGGAAGCCUGAUCUAGCCAUGCCGCGUGUGUGAAGAAGGCCUUAUGGUUGUAAAGCACUUUAAGCGAGGAGGAGGCUACCUAGAUUAAUACUCUAGGAUAGUGGACGUUACUCGCAGAAUAAGCACCGGCUAACUCUGUGCCAGCCGCCGCCGUAACAC
rnacentral:rRNA from 1 species